rnacentral:rRNA from 1 species
GCGACUUAUAUUCUGUAGCAAGGUUAACCGAAUAGGGGAGCCGGAGGGAAACCGAGUCUUAACCGGGCGUUAAGUUGCAGGGUAUAGACCCGAAACCCGGUGAUCUAGCCAUGGGCAGGUUGAAGGUUGGGUAACACUAACUGGAGGACCGAACCGACUAAUGUUGAAAAAUUAGCGGAUGACCUGUGGCUGGGGGUGAAAGGCCAAUCAAACCGGGAGAUAGCUGGUUCUCCCCGAAAGCUAUUUAGGUAGCGCCUCGUGAAUUCAUCUCCGGGGGUAGAGCACUGUUUCGGCUAGGGGGCCAUCCCGGCUUACCAACCCGAUGCAAACUGCGAAUACCGGAGAAUGUUAUCACGGGAGACACACGGCGGGUGCUAACGUCCGUCGUGAAGAGGGAAACAACCCAGACCGCCAGCUAAGGUCCCAAAGUCAUGGUUAAGUGGGAAACGAUGUGGGAAGGCCCAGACAGCCAGGAUGUUGGCUUAGAAGCAGCCAUCAUUUAAAGAAAGCGUAAUAGCUCACUGGUCGAGUCGGCCUGCGCGGAAGAUGUAACGGGGCUAAACCAUGCACCGAAGCUGCGGCAGCGACACUGUGUGUUGUUGGGUAGGGGAGCGUUCUGUAAGCCUGUGAAGGUGUGUCGUGAGGCAUGCUGGAGGUAUCAGAAGUGCGAAUGCUGACAUAAGUAACGAUAAAGCGGGUGAAAAGCCCGCUCGCCGGAAGACCAAGGGUUCCUGUCCAACGUUAAUCGGGGCAGGGUGAGUCGACCCCUAAGGCGAGGCCGAAAGGCGUAGUCGAUGGGAAACGGGUUAAUAUUCCCGUACUUGGUGUUACUGCGAAGGGGGGACGGAGAAGGCUAUGUUGGCCGGGCGACGGUUGUCCCGGUUUAAGUGUGUAGGUGUGUGUUCCAGGUAAAUCCGGUUCACUUUAACACUGAGGCGUGACGACGAGGCACUACGGUGCUGAAGCAACAAAUGCCCUGCUUCCAGGAAAAGCCUCUAAGCAUCAGGUAACAUCAAAUCGUACCCCAAACCGACACAGGUGGUCAGGUAGAGAAUACCAAGGCGCUUGAGAGAACUCGGGUGAAGGAACUAGGCAAAAUGGUGCCGUAACUUCGGGAGAAGGCACGCUGACACGUAGGUGAAGUGAUUUACUCAUGGAGCUGAAGUCAGUCGAAGAUACCAGCUGGCUGCAACUGUUUAUUAAAAACACAGCACUGUGCAAACACGAAAGUGGACGUAUACGGUGUGACGCCUGCCCGGUGCCGGAAGGUUAAUUGAUGGGGUCAGCGCAAGCGAAGCUCCUGAUCGAAGCCCCGGUAAACGGCGGCCGUAACUAUAACGGUCCUAAGGUAGCGAAAUUCCUUGUCGGGUAAGUUCCGACCUGCACGAAUGGCGUAAUGAUGGCCAGGCUGUCUCCACCCGAGACUCAGUGAAAUUGAACUCGCUGUGAAGAUGCAGUGUACCCGCGGCAAGACGGAAAGACCCCGUGAACCUUUACUAUAGCUUGACACUGAACAUUGAGCCUUGAUGUGUAGGAUAGGUGGGAGGCUUUGAAGUGUGGACGCCAGUCUGCAUGGAGCCGACCUUGAAAUACCACCCUUUAAUGUUUGAUGUUCUAACGUGGACCCGUUACCCGGGUUGCGGACAGUGUCUGGUGGGUAGUUUGACUGGGGCGGUCUCCUCCUAAAGAGUAACGGAGGAGCACGAAGGUUGGCUAAUCCUGGUCGGACAUCAGGAGGUUAGUGCAAUGGCAUAAGCCAGCUUGACUGCGAGCGUGACGGCGCGAGCAGGUGCGAAAGCAGGUCAUAGUGAUCCGGUGGUUCUGAAUGGAAGGGCCAUCGCUCAACGGAUAAAAGGUACUCCGGGGAUAACAGGCUGAUACCGCCCAAGAGUUCAUAUCGACGGCGGUGUUUGGCACCUCGAUGUCGGCUCAUCACAUCCUGGGGCUGAAGUAGGUCCCAAGGGUAUGGCUGUUCGCCAUUUAAAGUGGUACGCGAGCUGGGUUUAGAACGUCGUGAGACAGUUCGGUCCCUAUCUGCCGUGGGCGCUGGAGAACUGAGGGGGGCUGCUCCUAGUACGAGAGGACCGGAGUGGACGCAUCACUGGUGUUCGGGUUGUCAUGCCAAUGGCACUGCCCGGUAGCUAAAUGCGGAAGAGAUAAGUGCUGAAAGCAUCUAAGCACGAAACUUGCCCCGA